rnacentral:lncRNA from 1 species
AUGAAAGUCAAUUUAUUAGCAUUACCCAUGAAAAGAAACUUCAGUGGUGUAACAUAAAACUUACAAGAUUUAUAAUGCAUAAAACUUGAACAGAAUAUUCUAUCUGUAGAAAUGGAAAUAGAAAGCAGAUAUUUCAUUACAACUACCUCCUGGAAACAUGUCAGAAAAAAUAGCCUGGGAACAAGAAACCUUUCUCCUUGAGGUCCAGCAUGAAGUUACUUCCUAUGGUCAUUAGAUGGCAGAUUUGGGCUUGUAGGAAUCUAUUACAGUUGACCUUUGAACAGCAUGGGUUUGACCUGUGAGGAUCCACUUAUACGUUAAUUUUUUUCAAUAAAUACAUACAUACAACAGUAUCUGCAUUUGGUUGAAUCUGUGGAUGCGUGGAUCCAGACGGCCAGUCUGUAAAGUUAUCGGCAGAUUUUUGACUGCACAGAGGCUCAGUGUCCCUAACCCCUGCAUGACUGAAGGGUCAAAUGUAUAAAUAAUAUUUGGUGCUAGAUAUUAUGUGAGACAGAGAAGACAACCAACCUAAAUCCUCCCUUCCAGGAGCUAACGGCCUAGUAAGUAAGAGAGAGAAAUAAAUCUAGAUCAAUAACUUUAACACAAAGUAGUUAAUAUAAGGAAUUCCUGCUAUGGUGCAGUGGGUUAAGAAUCCAACUAUAUCGGCCUGGGUCACCGAGGAGGUGCGGGUUCAAUCCCUGGCCCAGCACAGUGGGUUAAAGGAUGUGGUGUUGCCACAGCUGAAGUGCAGUUUGCAGCCAUGGCUCCUAUUCAAUCCCAGGCUCGAGAACUUCCAUAUGCUGUGCGUGUGGCCAUAAAAUUAAAAAAAUAAAACGUAGAAAGAAAGAAAACACCAGAAGUGUUCACAGGAAGGAAGAGAUUCACACAAUUCUGGAGGAAGUGGGGGAAAAAAGAUCCAGAAGACAAAGGUCAGGCAAAUAUUGUCCUAAUUAUUUAAAAUGCAAAAAAGUGUUUGAAUGUCUCUCAGUGACCACAGGAUGGAGUCUGGAUUCCACAGAAGGAAGGCAAACAAUGUUCUCAAUGUUCUCUCUGAAUUGCUCCAGUUUCACUUCUGUCUGUCCUGACUCCUUCUCUGCAUCCUGAUGAAAGCAAAGUUUUUGUAGCUGCCCAUGUUCAACAGGAAGCUGGCUUUCUUCAUGCUGUUCCCUCUCACUAGAAUGCCCUUCUCCUUCUGUUUAUUCUUCCAGACUCAAGUAUUAUCUCCUUCAGAAAGUAUUGCCAAAAGUUGCCCUGCCCCCUCCUUGAUGCUCCUAUAGCAUCUGGCCCAUUUGCCUCCCAUGGUACUGAUGAUGCUGAAAUUAUCUUCUUGGGUAUCAGCCUCCCUGUGGAUCUAUCAUCAGCAUCUCCAGAGCUAGAUCACAUGCUCUUCAUCUCUGCACUUCAGUACCUAGCCCAGGGCUUGGUACUCUGCAGGUGCACAGUAAGUGUUUGUUGCUCUGCUAUAAGGCUGUUCU